rfam:Anaerovibrio sp. JC8 JC8_005, whole genome shotgun sequence.
GGAGGGUACUCUGGAGAAUCCCAUUAAAUUGGGUGCCGAAGGUGCAAGGUUUACAUUUUAUGUGUAAGCUGAAUCUCUCAGGCAAAAAGACAGUGAUAAUGAG